rnacentral:rRNA from 1 species
CCGCCCUCGGGACGCCGCAGCCGGUCGGGUAGCUGCGCGAGUCGGCCAUAAGGACGGGCAACGGAAGGUGGCCGGUGGCGUUCCCUCGUGUUCGCCGCCGGUCGUUAUCCGGCUCGCCCGUGGCGCGACACCCGACCGAGGUCGAAGGUCCACGCUAGGACCGUGCCGUCCCCUCCCCCGUGGUCGAGCGGGAGCGCCUGCAGGCGGAUUCCCGGUCGGUCGUCUCCACUCUCCGAGUGGGCGGCCG